AGGAGCUAAUAAUAAUGGAGGUCUCGCAAAGCAAAGCAUAUUCGACGUGGCAGUUGGCUGGGACAAGGUGCGCGUGCGCGGCGGCAGUCAGACGUGAGGUGCUGUGAGAGUUUCCCAGAUAACGGCAGCUAUCCAGUGGUGCAGUGGGCAACUUGUGCUGACGGACUCCUUCCAGGCAGGAACAUAAUAGCUUUCAGAAUAAAGAAACACUACGCAAGUAAAAGUGAAACCAGGAAACGCCAGAAGCAGAUGGAGCCCCAAACAGGAGCUGCUCAUGGUGGCUGACUCUACUCCUGGUGUUCCUCCUCAUCCUCCACCACCAUCUCCUGCUGCACUUGUGAUGAGUUCCAGCCUCCCCACCUCCCACCCACAUUUGGUCAUCCAUCAUGUAUGCCCACUACCCA